UCAUGGUUUUAGGAUGGGUAUGAAAAGGAUCAGGCUUGUUAUUGCCUUGAUAUUUUAGCUGUAGAAAGUUGAGGAGAGUUGUGAAAUAGAAUCCAAGAAUGGUAAGGGAACAAGUUGUGGUGUCAUUUUCCUCCUCGUACAUAUACAAAAUGUAAGAUUGUGUAGCCAUGAAAGUGGAAUUGAAGUGAUUGGCAAAAGUUGUCCAUACUUGGAAAAGAGAUAGGCUAAUUCUUAAAUUAUUG
rnacentral:lncRNA from 1 species